rnacentral:misc_RNA from 1 species
GAUGAAGAACGUAGCGAAAUGCGAUAAGUAGUGUGAAUUGCAGAAUUCAGUGAAUCAUCGAAUCUUUGAACGCACAUUGCGCCCUUUGGUAUUCCAAAGGGCAUGCCUGUUCGAGCGUCAUUUGUACCCUCAAGCUUUGCUUGGUGUUGGGCGUCUUGUCUCUAGCUUUGCUGGAGACUCGCCUUAAAGUAAUUGGCAGCCGGCCUACUGGUUUCGGAGCGCAGCACAAGUCGCACUCUCUAUCAGCAAAGGUCUAGCAUCCAUUAAGCCUUUUUUUUCAACUUUUGACCUCGGAUCAGGUAGGGAUACCCGCUGAACUUAAGCAUAUCAAUAAGCGAGGA